UAUCACUAUUUGUGUGACUGAGGUACCUA
rnacentral:piRNA from 1 species